UACGAAGGGGGCGAGCGUUGUUCGGAUUUACUGGGCGUAAAGGGCGCGUAGGCGGCGCGAGAAGUCGAACGUGAAAUCCCUGGGCUCAACCCAGGAACUGCGUCCGAUACUGGUUGGCUUGAAUCCGGGAGAGGGAUGUGGAAUUCCAGGUGUAGCGGUGAAAUGCGUAGAUAUCUGGAGGAACACCGGUGGCGAAGGCGACAUCCUGGACCGGUAUUGACGCUGAGGCGCGAAAGCCAGGGGAGCAAACGGG
rnacentral:rRNA from 1 species